UUACGACCAUACCAUGUUGAAACACCAGUUCUCUUAUAAUCACCAAAAUUAAGCAAUGUCAAGCCUGGUCAGUACCUAGAUGGGUGACCACUUAGAAAUACCAGGUGCUGUAUG